CCAAUGGUUUAGCUGGGGAGCUUCUCUGCUGACGUACCUCCUUCCUCCUGUUCGACGAUUAACUCUUCCAGGCCUUGCUUGCCUCGUGCGAGAAAAGAGGGAAAGUGCUAACAUGCUAACACCGGUAACGGGUGUUGCCGCAUCUGAGACCGGAAAAGCUGCUAUUUGUCCAAUUCUGCCUUCUCUCUUUCCUGUAUACUUAUUGUACUAUUGA